rnacentral:rRNA from 1 species
CCUACGGGGGGCAGCAGUGGGGAAUAUUGGACAAUGGGCGAAAGCCUGAUCCAGCCAUGCCGCGUGUGUGAAGAAGGCCUUCGGGUUGUAAAGCACUUUCAGUGGGGAAGAAAGCCUUGGGGCUAAUACCCUCGAGGAAGGACAUCACCCACAGAAGAAGCACCGGCUAACUCCGUGUCAGCAGCCGCGGUAAUACGGAGGGUGCGAGCGUUAAUCGGAAUUACUGGGCGUAAAGCGCGCGUAGGCGGUCUGAUAAGCCGGUUGUGAAAGCCCCGGGCUCAACCUGGGAACGGCAUCCGGAACUGUCAGGCUAGAGUGCAGGAGAGGAAGGUAGAAUUCCCGGUGUAGCGGUGAAAUGCGUAGAGAUCGGGAGGAAUACCAGUGGCGAAGGCGGCCUUCUGGACUGACACUGACGCUGAGGUGCGAAAGCGUGGGUAGCAAACAGGAUUAGAUACCCCUGUAGUC